CAAAACCAAGAUGACACGCCGUCUCUCUCAGACAACACAAUAACACGUUACACACAGACAUAUAUAUCUCUAUCAUUAAUUCUUGCAAUUCCAUGGCUUGUCAAGGGAUCGAGGGGUUUACAGAAUCAGAUACAUCAGCAGACAUAGCACACCAAAUCAUGCAGCUAUUUGGAGAUGAUCAAGAUCAUGAUCAUGAACAAAGAAAUACUGUAAGAAACCGCAUGAUCUCCAAGAACAAGAAGAAGAACAUAAAGGAUGAAAUCAGAUCAUCACAGAAAAGCGUGCAAGAUUGUGUUCAGAUCAGUUGCAAGCCGUCGAAGAAACGCAGGUAUCGGAGCAUUAAUAAUCUGUAUAUGAUUACAGAGCCAGUAAAUGUUGUAGAUGAGAUUCAAGAGAAGAAAUUAAAAUUUUUGAAGGAACCCUAGUUUGAUUAUCGAGAAGGACAAUAUGGGUUCGUAGGGGUGGGCAGGGGUGUGGGUAGGGGGCCUUCAAUGUGAAUCUUGAUGCAGAUAGAUUAAUCUUAUUGUCUUUUGUUUAUGAUUCUGCAUGCUGGCUUUAGUUACUUAUAAUCUACUUUUUAAGUUUUAAUCUAUGCC
rnacentral:lncRNA from 1 species